UNUGACUUGAGUGCAGAAGGGGAGAGUGGAAUUCCAUGUGUAGCGGUGAAAUGCGUAGAUAUAUGGAGGANCACCAGUGGCGAAAGCGGCUCUCUGNUCUGUCACUGACGCUGAGGCUNGAAAGCGUGGGUAGCGAACAGGAUUAGAUACCCUGGUAGUCCACGCCGUAAACGAUGAGUGCUAGGUGUUAGGCCCUUUCCGGGGCUUAGUGCCGGAGCUAACGCAAUAAGCACUCCGCCUGGGGAGUACGACCGCAAGGUUGAAACUCAAAGGAAUUGACGGGGGCCCGCACAAGCGGUGGAGCAUGUGGUUUAAUUCGAAGCAACGCGAAGAACCUUACCAGGUCUUGACAUCCCGAUGCUAUUCUUAGAGAUAGGAAGUUACUUCGGUACAUCGGAGACAGGUGGUGCAUGGUUGUCGUCAGCUCGUGUCGUGAGAUGUUGGGUUAAGUCCCGCAACGAGCGCAACCCUUAUUGUUAGUUGCCAUCAUUAAGUUGGGCACUCUAGCGAGACUGCCGGUAAUAAACCGGAGGAAGGUGGGGAUGACGUCAAAUCAUCAUGCCCCUUAUGACCUGGGCUAUACACGUGCUACAAUGGUCGGUACAACGAGUUGCGAGCCGGUGACGGCAAGCUAAUCUCUGAAAGCCGAUCUCAGUUCGGAUUGGAGGCUGCAACUCGCCUCCAUGAAGUCGGAAUCGCUAGUAAUCGCGGAUCAGCACGCCGCGGUGAAUACGUUCCCGGGCCUUGUACACACCGCCCGUCACACCACGAGAGUUUGUAACACCCGAAGUCGGUGAGGUAACCUUUUAGGGGCCAGCCGC
rnacentral:rRNA from 1 species